GGCGUAAAGAGCGUGUAGGCGGGCUGAAAAGUCAGAAGUGAAAUCCUGUGGCUUAACCAUAGAACUGCUUCUGAAACUCUCAGUCUAGAAUAUGGGAGAGGUAGACGGAAUUGG
rnacentral:rRNA from 1 species